CCCUGAGGCCGGGCAAGAUGGCGGCGGGGCGGAGGCCGGCGGCGGGCGCGGAGCCGCUGCCUGCGGCGGGAGGUGUUGUCGCGCCCGGCUCGCUGCGCGGCCUCCCGGCACAGCGCAGGAACACAGACCGGCACCCCCGUUUCUUCCACCGCCCUAUUAAACGAGGAGCGGCAGGAGAGGCAGCAUCUGUCCUGUUUGCAGCGCUGAAAUGACACCGGGACACUUGGGCGCGGACGGAGGAGAGGGGAUGGUGCCCUGGUGUGCUGAAUAAGGAUCACUGCUACUGUAAACCCCUACGCAGGCAGCAUCAAGAGAAUAGGAUUUGUCACACCAACACUGAACCAAGACUAAGCUUCAGCCUUUUAUAUGGAACUGCUGGAAGAGGAAGCUGCAGUACGGAAAGCAGUCAGUCUUGACUGCGUGACACCAUGCCUCUCACAGAAGGCAAAUGAUGUCUUACUUCAAAAACUUCAUGAAAUGCAAACUUGUUGAUUCACUGUUCUUAGAGCUGUUACACUUGAAUAACUGGGGACAGGGAAAGUUACAAUUAGUACAUCAAAGUAAAUCAAAUUAAGAUUUAUAGUUUGAUUUACUCUGAAGACUACAGAGGUAAAAAGAAAAAGAAGCAAAAGUAUUAUAGUAUACAGCAUUUUUUUUCUCCUACUAGCAGGAGCAGCUUUUUAGAUAAAUGAUGAACUAAAACUUAACAAGUACAGAACAGAACUCACAGAGCAACAUUUUUUCAUAGCUAGAAAAAGCCACUGAAAAUGUGAAGUUGCCAAUAGAGGAAUGCAACAGCAAAGUACAUAAUACAGCAAUACUUGUAUAUUAUUGUAAAAGCAAUAAUACAUGUCUAUCACUAAGUCAGUAGAAAACUAACUGCUUACAAUGGCAAAUAGUGACCUCAUUUUAGUUAAGCUGCUCCACAUAUUGAGUGAAGAUAAUUUAUUUUCACCUGUCUGCAGAAGUAAGGUGUGCUUCAAGUUGUAAGCAUGGGCGUGUUUCAUGAUUUAAAUAAUAGCUCACACCUUUUGCUUUAUACUGUGUGUAUCUCGAUUAAGACAAAUGCCUGGUAACUUGUUCUGGUUUUACUCCACAGUGCUUCAAAGUUGCCUGCAUGAUCUGGUAGGGUGGUGAGACUACCGUGUUUCCUUGGACAAGUACCAGAACUUCAACUUGAACAAAGUGGGAUUAAGUUUUACUCAAUUUUAGAGGAAGACUUCAACAUAUGGACAAGAUAGUAUGAAGAAGCACACUGCUUAAAUUGACAAUGAUUUAUUGUGUUUAGGAACAUUCAAUAAAUACCAAUCUUUUAGUUUCAGUUUGGAAAUCAUUCCCCAUCAAAAAUCAGUUGUUUGUGUUGGUUUUUUUUUUUUUCUGGCAUAAACUCCAUUGCCAGCAAUGGAUGUAUCAGAAAAAGAAUUUAAUA